rnacentral:rRNA from 1 species
AUUGAACGCUGGCGGCGUGCCUAAUACAUGCAAGUCGAACGCAGUGGGGACGGGUGAGUAACACGUGGGUAACCUCCCAUCAGAGGGGAUAACACUUGGAAACAGGUGCUAAACCGAUACUGAUGGAUGGACACGCGGUGCAUUAGAUAGGUGGUGGGGUAACGGCUCACCAAGGCCAUGAUGCAUAGCCGACCUGUGAGGGUGAUCGGCCACCCUGGGACUGAGACACGGCCCAGACUCCUACGGGAGGCAUCAGUAGGGAAUCUUCGGCAAUUGACGAAAGUCUGACCGAGCCACGCCGCGUGAGUGAAGAAGGUUUUCGGAUCGUAAAACUCUGUUGUUAUAGAAGCGGUAUCUAACCAGAAAGCCACGGCUAACUACGUGCCAGCAGCCGCGGUAAUUC